rnacentral:rRNA from 1 species
AUUGAACGCUGGCGGCAGGCCUAACACAUGCAAGUCGAGCGGAUGAAGGGAGCUUGCUCCUGGAUUCAGCGGCGGACGGGUGAGUAAUGCCUAGGAAUCUGCCUGGUAGUGGGGGAUAACGUCCGGAAACGGGCGCUAAUACCGCAUACGUCCUGAGGGAGAAAGUGGGGGAUCUUCGGACCUCACGCUAUCAGAUGAGCCUAGGUCGGAUUAGCUAGUUGGUGGGGUAAAGGCCUACCAAGGCGACGAUCCGUAACUGGUCUGAGAGGAUGAUCAGUCACACUGGAACUGAGACACGGUCCAGACUCCUACGGGAGGCAGCAGUGGGGAAUAUUGGACAAUGGGCGAAAGCCUGAUCCAGCCAUGCCGCGUGUGUGAAGAAGGUCUUCGGAUUGUAAAGCACUUUAAGUUGGGAGGAAGGGCAGCAAGUUAAUACCUUGCUGUUUUGACGUUACCAACAGAAUAAGCACCGGCUAACUUCGUGC